CCUACGGGGGGCAGCAGUGGGGAAUAUUGCACAAUGGGGGAAACCCUGAUGCAGCAACGCCGCGUGAGUGAUGAAGGUUUUCGGAUCGUAAAGCUCUGUCUUUGGGGAAGAUAAUGACGGUACCCAAGGAGGAAGCCACGGCUAACUACGUGCCAGCAGCCGCGGUAAUACGUAGGUGGCGAGCGUUAUCCGGAUUUACUGGGCGUAAAGGGAGCGUAGGCGGAUGAUUAAGUGGGAUGUGAAAUACCCGGGCUCAACUUGGGUGCUGCAUUCCAAACUGGUUAUCUAGAGUGCAGGAGAGGAGAGUGGAAUUCCUAGUGUAGCGGUGAAAUGCGUAGAGAUUAGGAAGAACACCAGUGGCGAAGGCGACUCUCUGGACUGUAACUGACGCUGAGGCUCGAAAGCGUGGGGAGCAAACAGGAUUAGAUACCCGGGUAGUC
rnacentral:rRNA from 1 species